rnacentral:lncRNA from 1 species
GAAAACAUGAGCCAUACUUACACAAUGUCAUUCCACUGUGCUCAUUAACUGAUUGUGUAGACUCUACCUGCCAUCACGGAUAAGACGGCACUAUUACUAUAUACAAAUUGAUUGUGCCACUGUCGGAGCACUGUAUCCUCUGGACCAUGUUUGAAGAACAGAACGCCUGCCUAGCUAGCCUCUAAGCUACGCUAGCUUCCAGUCCAGACCUCGAGAGCCAUCGUUGAUUGAACCCUAAACUAUUCCCCUGAUCACUCAACGUCAAAUUAAUACCAGUGCAGUAGUUGUACCGCGAGCUACGGCCGGCCCUAGCAGAUAAACCACGCCUUGUAGCUCCAUGAUGACGGC